CAGCUCACGUUUCCAUUUACUUAAUCCGAGACACCUCAAAGUGUUUUAAAAUAAACCUAAUCUUUGAGUGCCUUGAGGAGAAUAUAUUUACACAGAUCAGAUUAGUAGAUAACUAUUUUUUUUUUUUAAACCAUGUAGGUAACCAAAGUCUAAGCUGUUAGGAGACCUCAAAUAUUUUUUCUACUCUACAAAGCACACCUUCACACCCCAGAGCAUUAGAUUGGGAAUUAAGGAGACAGUCCUACAGUAACACGUAGUAUCAUUCCGUACCACCUCCUCCCCCACCCCUAUCCAAAGAAGUUUGGGGAAGGGCUGGACACCAGAAUUGGAUAAGUCACCGAGGGCAAAGGGCAGUGGUGAUCCUCUCGCACAGCUCGCCCGUCCAAAGGCUAGGAGGGGCCCGCCGGGAGGGCCCGGCCUCACAACGUGCGAUCUCACACGUACUCGGGAGUACGCGGGAGCCCGGAGCAGAAGCGGCACUCGCGCCGGCCCCACAGGGCCGAGGGCGGGCCGGGGCUGCGGUGCUGCGGCGGAGCACGUAUGGGGGCGUGACCUGCAGAGCGGUGGGCGGGACUCAGGUUUCUCCUGGAAGCUUAAAUUUCGCAUCCUUAAGCAGUACCGCCGGCACCGGGGACUAAAGCGGCGUCAGGUCCCUUCCGCAUCCUUGGUACUUUCUCUGAUGAGGGUCUGAUCGCUGCCGCUCUCAGGCACCUGCCUUUCCUCUCCUUCCCGGAACGGAGCCAAGACAAGGAGAGUAUAAAGGACAUAAAAUAAUGCGAGGAGAUCGGGUGUCUGAGCAGCGUCUUGGGUAAAACCGUCCACUACAGAGAAAAGUGCAAACACAGUCCCCUACUACCACAAAUUACGCAGUCGAGUUUCCCACAUUGGGGAAACUGCAGGGGUCAGCACAUCCAGAGUGCAAUGAGUAAGCCUCACCCUAGGAAAACCACCUUUGUGGUCAAGGUAUCUCCCCUACCAGGCCUAUUAUACCCUUGUAAAACAACUCACCAGCAUCGAGAAGUUUCCUCACACGCAAAUAGCUGAUGGUAAGCCUCAUAACAGAAGCCUUAUCAAGAUGCGAACUCACAUUAUGAGGAAGGGGCAACUGAUGAGCAAGCUCAUAAAAAACUUCAGACUCUUUACUUCGACGAGAUCUGGCUGCAUCUCUAGACUUUUCUUUUCGACGCUCAGAACUUAUCCUAUUUAACAAAAAAGAAGGGGGUGGGGAAAAGAGGCAGAAAAUUAAUGUUAGUUUGCCUUUGCUUGACCAUAGUUUACAUUCUGCUUACCACAGAAGGAUCAGAAGAUGCUAUGUGAUUCAAUUAUAUAGAGAUCUGUCUAC